rnacentral:rRNA from 1 species
GUACACUCCUACGGGAGGCAGCAGUGGGGAAUUUUGGACAAUGGGAGAAAGCCUGAUCCAGCAAUGCCGCGUGAGUGAAGAAGGCCUUCGGGUAGUAAAGCUCUUUUGUCAGGGAAGAAACGGUGAGAGCUAAUAUCUCUUGCUAAUGACGGUACCUGAAGAAUACGCACCGGCUAACUACGUGCCAGCAGCCGCGGUAAUACGUAGGGUGCAAGCGUUAAUCGGAAUUACUGGGCGUAAAGCGUGCGCAGGCGGUUUUGUAAGUCUGAUGUGAAAUCCCCGGGCUCAACCUGGGAAUUGCAUUGGAGACUGCAAGGCUAGAAUCUGGCAGAGGGGGGUAGAAUUCCACGUGUAGCAGUGAAAUGCGUAGAGAUGUGGAGGAACACCGAUGGCGAAGGCAGCCCCCUGGGUCAAGAUUGACGCUCAUGCACGAAAGCGUGGGGAGCAAACAGGAUUAGAUACCCUGGUAGUCCCA